rnacentral:rRNA from 1 species
UACGGAGGGAGCUAGCGUUAUUCGGAAUUACUGGGCGUAAAGCGCACGUAGGCGGCUUUGUAAGCCAGAUGUGAAAUCCCCGGGCUCAACCUGGGAAUGGCAUUUGGGACUGCAAGGCUGGAGUUUGGCAGAGGAGACUGGAAUUCCUGGUGUAGCAGUGAAAUGCGUAGAUAUCAGGAGGAAUACCGAUGGCGAAGGCAGGUCUCUGGGCUAUAACUGACGCUCAUGCACGAAAGCGUGGGGAGCAAACAGG